GCAGAUGUAGUUUAGUGGUAGAACAUCAGCUUCCCAAGCUGAGAGUGUGGGUUCGAUUCCCAUCAUCUGCUCCA
rnacentral:tRNA from 1 species